GUUUUACACAACGAUGAAGUAAAUGCCAUUAAGAAACUAUUCGGACUGCUUGAAGAAUACUGUCUACUGCACAAACUUAACAUAAAAGAUGACUGACUAUAUACAUAUACUACUACCUGCACAACAUCUAUGAGGGCUUUGAUUACCUAAACUGAAAACUGUAGCUAAGCAGUGUCUUGGAAGGGAAGGCGCUAUGCCUGCUAUAUACAAAAGCAACUAGGCCAUACUUUUCUGGAUGAUAAACUAAGCAGAUUCUAUCUAGCUGGGCGGUCGGAAUCUUCAUAGAUAUUGAAGAGAAACUGAGGCAACGACGCGAUUCUUGGCAGAUUCAGCAACAGAUCCCCCAUCGAGUCUUUUCUCGACAUUGAAGGAGCUGGAUCAUUUGAUUUGUCCUCUGAUGUGGAAGGAUCUUCAACCUUCUUUCCACAUGUUGCUCCGGGAAAGAAACUGAUCAGUUCAUCAGUUCUCUUACCUCCAACU
rnacentral:misc_RNA from 1 species